UGAGUAACCUGCCCCAGACUCUGGAAUAACCCCGGGAAACCGGAGCUAAUACCGGAUACGAGACGAAGCUGCAUGGCUAUCGUCUGGAAAGUUUUUCGGUCUGGGAUGGACUCGCGGGCUAUUCAGCUUGUUGGUGAGGUAAUGGCUCACCAAGGCGACGACGGGUAGCCGGCCUGAGAGGGCGACCGGCCACACUGGGACUGAGACACGGCCCAGACUCCUACGGGAGGCAG
rnacentral:rRNA from 1 species